rnacentral:rRNA from 1 species
UGGGGAAUUUUGGACAAUGGGCGCAAGCCUGAUCCAGCCAUGCCGCGUGCGGGAAGAAGGCCUUCGGGUUGUAAACCGCUUUUGUCAGGGAAGAAAAGGUUCUGGUUAAUACCUGGGACUCAUGACGGUACCUGAAGAAUAAGCACCGGCUAACUACGUGCCAGCAGCCGCGGUAAUACGUAGGGUGCAAGCGUUAAUCGGAAUUACUGGGCGUAAAGCGUGCGCAGGCGGUUAUGCAAGACAGAGGUGAAAUCCCCGGGCUCAACCUGGGAACUGCCUUUGUGACUGCAUAGCUAGAGUACGGUAGAGGGGGAUGGAAUUCCGCGUGUAGCAGUGAAAUGCGUAGAUAUGCGAAGGAACACCGAUGGCGAAGGCAAUCCCCUGGACCUGUACUGACGCUCAUGCACGAAAGCGUGGGGAGCAAACAGG